UACGUAGGGGGCUAGCGUUGUCCGGAAUCAUUGGGCGUAAAGAGCGCGUAGGCGGCCAGAUAAGUCCGGUGUGAAAGUCACAGGCUCAACCUGUGAAUGCCGCUGGAAACUGUCUGGCUAGAGUCCGGAAGGGGCGAGUGGAAUUCCUGGUGUAGCGGUGAAAUGCGCAGAUAUCAGGAGGAACACCGGAGUGCGAAGGCGGCUGCUGGGCCAGUUACGUGCGCUGAGGACGAAAGCUGGGGAGCGAACAGG
rnacentral:rRNA from 1 species